rnacentral:rRNA from 1 species
AGUUUGAUCCUGGCUCAGGACGAACGCUGGCGGCGUGCCUAAUACAUGCAAGUCGAACGAGGUCCAGCUGGUGGCAACACCGGCGAAGACCUAGUGGCGAACGGGUGAGUAGCACGUGAGCAACCUGCCCCGAAGACCGGGAUAACACCGGGAAACCGGUGCUAAUACCGGAUGCCCUCACGAGAUCGCAUGGUCAUGUGAGGAAAUGGAUUCCGCUUCGGGAGGGGCUCGCGGCCUAUCAGUUUGUUGGUGGGGUAACGGCCUACCAAGACAUCGACGGGUAGCUGGUCUGAGAGGACGAUCAGCCACACUGGGACUGAGACACGGCCCAGACUCCUACGGGAGGCAGCAGUAGGGAAUCUUGCGCAAUGGGCGAAAGCCUGACGCAGCAACGCCGCGUGGGGGACGAAUGCUUUCUGAGUUGUAAACCCCUUUCAGCAGGGACGAUUGUGACGGUACCUGCAGAAGAAGCUCCGGCUAACUUCGUGCCAGCAGCCGCGUAAUAC